rnacentral:rRNA from 1 species
AGAGUUUGAUCAUGGCUCAGAAUCAACGCUGGCGGCGUGCCUAACACAUGCAAGUCGAGCGAGAAAAGGGGAGCAAUCCUCUGAGUACAGCGGCGCACGGGUGAGUAACACGUGGGUAAUCUGCCCUGAAGUGGGGAAUAACACCGGGAAACCGGUGCUAAUACCGCAUAUGAUCACGGUGUCUGCGGACACAGGGAUGAAAGGAGCAAUUCGCUUCAGGAGGAGCCCGCGGCUGAUUAGCUAGUUGGUGAGGUAAUGGCCCACCAAGGCUACGAUCAGUAUCCGGUCUGAGAGGACGGUCGGACACACUGGAACUGAGACACGGUCCAGACUCCUACGGGAGGCAGCAGUGGGGAAUUUUUCGCAAUGGGGGCAACCCUGACGAAGCAACGCCGCGUGGAUGAUGAAGUAUCUCGGUACGUAAAAUCCUUUCGACAGGGAAGAAACCGCAAGGUUGACGGUACCUGUAGAAGAAGCCCCGGCUAACUCCGUGCCAGCAGCCGCGGUAAUACGGGGGGGGCUAGCGUUGUUCGGAAUUACUGGGCGUAAAGGGCGCGUAGGCGGUCUGCUAAGUUGGAUGUGAAAACUCUGGGCUUAACCCAGAGCCUGCAUUCAAUACUGACAGGCUAGAGUUCUGGAGGGGAUAGCGGAAUUCCUGGUGUAGCGGUGAAAUGCGUAGAUAUCAGGAGGAACACCGGUGGCGAAGGCGGCUAUCUGGACAGAGUCUGACGCUGAGGCGCGAAAGCUAGGGGAGCAAACAGGAUUAGAUACCCUAGUAGUCC